AUGACUUUGGCGGGGUGGUUAACACGUUGCCCUGCUAUCUAACAGUAGCUGCUAGGCAAUUCCUUUGGAAGCACAGAUUCGAAUCCUGUAGGUAAUG